rnacentral:rRNA from 3 species
GAGAGUUUGAUUCUGGCUCAGGACGAACGCUGGCGGCGUGCCUAACACAUGCAAGUCGAGCGAGGAGAUUCCCUUCGGGGAUGAACCUAGCGGCGGACGGGUGAGUAACACGUGGGCAACCUGCCUUAUAGAGGGGAAUAGCCUUCCGAAAGGAAGAUUAAUACCGCAUAACAUUACAUUUUCGCAUGAAGAAGUAAUUAAAGGAGUAAUCCGCUAUAAGAUGGGCCCGCGGCGCAUUAGCUAGUUGGUGAGGUAACGGCUCACCAAGGCGACGAUGCGUAGCCGACCUGAGAGGGUGAUCGGCCACAUUGGGACUGAGACACGGCCCAGACUCCUACGGGAGGCAGCAGUGGGGAAUAUUGCACAAUGGGGGAAACCCUGAUGCAGCAACGCCGCGUGAGUGAUGAAGGUCUUCGGAUCGUAAAGCUCUGUCUUCAGGGACGAUAAUGACGGUACCUGAGGAGGAAGCCACGGCUAACUAC